GGACGCACACGAGGCGGAGUGGGUAACAAACUUUCUAUCAGUACGACGCCGUGAAUGCCGAUAAGUGUGUCCGUGCCCCCGCGUCGGUCAGGACCUCGAGGCGACAUUCGGCAACACGACCACCUCAUGCAACAUAGGGAAAAUAAUAAAUAAGACAAACCUCAUAUUAGACGGAUUAAAAUAAAUGAGCUGCAUGUCGAAAGUGCACAUGAAUGGCGCACAAAGUCGAUCAAAGGAAGCCAGUCAAGUGUCGGCGGCGUUGUAGUCCGGUGUCGCAGGGCGGGGGUGAAAGCAAGUAUAUAAAGACACCUGUGAAGGAGCUUACCACACCUGUCCUCUACGCCGCCCCGCCACGCCGGUGCCGCCUUGCCCUCCCUCGCCGCCGCCACUGCCUUGCCACACGGUCAACGCAUCAACCAUCAUCACCAGCUCUCUACCAUGCGGGCCGUCACCCUCGCCAUCCUCGUGGGCGUGUGUGUGAGCCUCGCCCUCGGCCUGCCCCCGCCACAGCCCGCGCCCGCCACAGACGCCGAUAGAGAAGGGAAGUUCGUCAUCAUGGUCCUGCCGAGCGAGAUAGAGGUCCCAAAGUUCGAGGAUAAGUUUUUGUAUGAAGACACGACGCCGGCAAACCUCAAGCCGGGGAUGUUUGACUUCUUUAAAUAUUAUGGAUUCAAUAUUUAGGAGGAUUUGCAGCAGCGGAUACAAAAAUAGAAGCAAACACAGGAAAAAGAGGAAGAGGAAGAGGAAGAGGAAGGGCAGAUGCGAGAGGAAAGAGGAGGAGACGAAGGAUAUUAUGGAUUCAAUAUUUAGCAGGAGGAUUUGCAGAAGCGGAUAAAAAAAUAGAAGCAAACGCAGGAGAAAGAGGAAGAGGAAGAGGAAGAGCAGAUGCGAGAGGGAAGAGGAGACGAAGGAGGAGACGCUAUGCACUGAACACUAUGGGUCAGGACGAGGGGCUAACGUAAUGGGCUUGGGGAGGUUAUAUCGUAGGUUGAACCGAGGACUGAUGGACAAUGGAAAGUAAUGAAGGUAAAGUCAGUGAAAGUAACGGGUCGGCAAGCCAGGACCUGUAUUUUUCAACCUGAUUUACCUGUUCCUUUUUUUUUUCUCCUUUUAUUUUACUAUUUUUUGUUCAGUUUUUUUUCGUGUUUCUUUAUUUCUUUGUUUUUUGCUGUCUUCCUUUCGUUUCUUUUUUUAUUUUUGUUUUCUUUCAUUUAUUUUUUCUUUCCCUCUAUCUUUCUUUGUUUUAGCUCUUUCUUUCUUCCUCCUUCUUUUUGUCGGAACACGUUGGGAAAGGCCUGAAAAAGUUGAUGACGUUGAUGAAGACGAUGGACGAUGACUUCAGCGCAAGAACAUGUCCUAUACACGUCCUGCCGUUCUUGCACACCUGGCCAUUCACCUCGCUUAUACAUGCUGUUUUGUUUGUUUGUUAAGGUGUUGUUUUAUAUGUCAGGUAGUGUAGGUUACGUCCUUACGGUGCUGUCAUUUAUUAUUUCUUUUUAUACUCUGAUUAAAAUGUUAUAAUCUAUCUCA